rnacentral:rRNA from 1 species
AAACCAACAGGGAUUGCCCCAGUAACGGCGAGUGAAGCGGCAACAGCUCAAAUUUGAAAUCUGGCCUCGGCCCGAGUUGUAAUUUGCAGAGGAUGUUUCUGGCGCGGUGCCUUCUGAGUUCCCUGGAACGGGACGCCAUAGAGGGUGAGAGCCCCGUACGGUUGGACGCCUAGCCUGUGUGAAACUCCUUCGACGAGUCGAGUAGUUUGGGAAUGCUGCUCAAAAUGGGAGGUAUAUCUCUUCUAAAGCUAAAUACCGGCCAGAGACCGAUAGCGCACAAGUAGAGUGAUCGAAAGAUGAAAAGCACCUUGAAAAGGGGGUUAAACAGCACGUGAAAUUGUUGAAAGGGAAGCGCCCAUGACCAGACUUGUGCCCGGCGGAUCACCCAGCGUUCUCGCUGGGGCACUCCGCCGGGUCCAGGCCAGCAUCGGUUUUCGCCGGGGGAUAAAGGCUCUGGGAACGUAGCUCCUCCGGGAGUGUUAUAGCCCUCUGCGUAAUACCCUGGCGGGGACCGAGGUACGCGCUCCGCAAGGAUGCUGGCGUAAUGGUCAUCAGCGAC